UACAGAGAGUGCGAACGUUGUUCGGAAUUACUGGGCUUAAAGCGCACGUAGGCGGUGUCGUAAGUGUCAGGUGAAAUCCCACGGCUCACCCGUGGAACUGCCUGGCAUACUGCGAUGCUCGAGUGUGGUAGGGGAGAGCGGAACUCCUGGUGGAGCGGUGAAAUGCGUAGAUAUCAGGAGGAACACCGGUGGCGAAGGCGGCUCUCUGGUCCACAACUGACGCUGAGGUGCGAAAGCUAGGGGAGCAAACGGG
rnacentral:rRNA from 1 species